rnacentral:lncRNA from 1 species
AUUGUUCACUUGGACCGAUCUGCAAGCAAAGUGUAACAACGAGCUGCUAAACAAUUUAGGGAACUUCAUCAAUCGAGUGCUGAGCUUUAUCGCAAAACCAGAGGGUUAGUAAAGCGAGAAUAAUACCUCUGUUUAGUUCUAUGUUUCCUUCAUAUUCCUAUGGCAUGCAUUCACUCGUCCAUUUUGUUCUGCUUCGCUCCUGCUGUCAUGCAUGAUCUGUCAAAAUGUUAAGACAGCUCACUACUGUUGCAGGUAUUGGAUAUGGUUCUGUUGUACCGGACUCACCUGCUGCGGAUUCGCAUACUCUGACUCAGUCAUUAGCAAAGACUAUUGGUAAAUUGAUUGAGCAGUACAUCGAUGCAAUGGACAAAGUAAUGCAAUGAUUUUGAAUUGUAUUAACUACACUAAGUAAAUCUGAAUUUGAAUGGCCUCUAUAGAUCUGAAUAAUUGUGGUAAUAACCAUUUCCAUUAAUAGGUCAAAAUAAAACAAGGGUUGAAGAUUGCAAUGGCCAUUUCUAGCGAGGGAAAUGCAUACCUCCAAGUAAGACUUCAUUCUUCUUUUCUUCACCUAUGUUCCCAUUGUGCUAUGUACACUUCGCACUACCUCGAAAUUGUCUAAAAGUUUCCAUUGAUAUGCAGG